rnacentral:lncRNA from 9 species
GUCUGUUCACUUUUUCUAAGAACUACAGUGAGAAAUUAAGGAAAUUUUAAUGGGGAAAUUCUGAAUAAUUAUAGACUGAAUUAUGCAGUUUAUAUGCAUUGUUUAUUCAAAAGACUAUAUAAGAUUAUAUCAAUAUAUAAACAUUUAAUAUGUUUUCUGCUUCCUUUCAAAUUCCUUUAAAACAUUAUCAAUACCAAACAUUAGGAAUGUAAACAGUCCAGGAGAUCUUAAUGAUUCUAAAAAAUUUUUUUUUUGUCUUUUUUUCUUUUUAGGGCUGCACCCAUGGCAUAUGGAAGUUCCUAGGCUAGGGGUUGAAGCGGAGCUAUAGCUGCCAGCCUACACAACAGCCACAGCAACACAGGACCUGAGAUGUGUUGGUGACCUACACCAGAGCUCACAGAUAUGCUGGAAUCUUAACCCACUGAGCAGGGACAGAGACUGAACCUGCAUCCUCAUGGAUACCAGUUGGGUUUGUUAACCACUAAGCCAUGACAGGAACUCUUAAAAAAUCAUUUUGACUAAGUCAUUCAAACAUAUACAAUAUUAAUUUUGUCUUUGUUUCUAUGCAUUAUAUAUUAUGAGAAUAACUAUGAGUCUUAAUCUAAAUCUGUUCCAAAGAUAUAGUCUCUAAACUGCACUGAUUCUUGUUCACAAUUAGUCCUCAUCUCUAGAUGUAAACUAAUAUAUUUGUAAAUGCAACAAACACAUUAUUAGUACUUAUAAUGUGCAAGGCACAUUUUAAGUGAAGAGAAUAGUAUUCCAGUAUUUCAGAAGGUUAUACUUUUGAUAUUUUUGGCUAGUCUUUGGUUUGAUUACUCAGUUAUUCUCUCAUGUAUGGAUUACAUAUUUGCUGUUCCCAUUCAUUUCUGAAUCUUUACACUUUUAUGAUUUUAUAAUGCAGCAGUGGCCUUACACCAUCACAUCCACAAAUUGAGGAAGAUGCAAACACAUAAAAACAAUAAAGAACCACUUCCACUAGAUCCUAAAUCUACUGAAGAUGUAGACAUUUAAACCAUUUCAUGUUUAUUAUUCUCCAACACUAAGCUUUGUUUUAGAGUGUUAAUAUGGGGAAAAAUAAGUAAUGGACAUUUGUUACACUUAAAACACAAAUUUUUUUUGUCUUUUUGUUUUUUCUAGCACCACACCCAUGGCACAUGGAGGUUCCCAGGCUAGGGGUCUAAUCAGAUCUACAGCUGCCACCCUACAGCAUAGCCACAGCAACCUGGGAUCCGAGCUGCAUCUGCAAUCUACACCACAGCUCAUAGCAACGCCAGAUCCUUAACCCACUGAGGAAAGCCAGGGAUCAAACCCACAACCUCAUCGUCCCUCAUCAGAUUUGUUAAUCACUGAGCCACGACAAGAACUACUAAAAUACAAAAUUUUUGAUUGUCACGAACAAUAUUCCAUUUCUGCCCUCAAUUAGAGUAGAAAAGCACCUAAUCAAAUGCAGAACCUACUUAGAGCUUAUAAUUUAGCAUAAGGGAAUUAGAGACAAUAGCCAACAUGAAUAAAAUACAUAUAUGUUAGGUAAUAAGUAUAAUGCAAUUGAAAUGGAUAGGUACAAUUUAAAAUGAUGGUGAGGAUGAAUUGCUAAAUAAAAAACUGGUCUCAGUAAUGACCGAAAUGCUAUGACAGAAUGAACCAUGAAAUUAACAAGACUCAAGCAGAGGGAAAAACGGGUACAGAGCUAAAUAUGAAUGUGUGUAAUUUGGGUAUUUAAAGAAUAGGAAAAAGAGGUAGUGAAAGCCAUCAUCUGCUAAGAAAGUAAAGAAAAGAAAUGGCCAAUAAGCAGAAAUGUGGUGAAAGAAGAGAAAGGGGAGAGGAAAAAAAAAGAAAAAUGAAAGAAAUAAAACUAAAACUGGAAAUGCAGAUGAAUGUAAGGACUGUUAAGAAAAGAAAAAACUAAUUUUAAAUUAUAAAUAACCUUCUAUAAUGACGAUACAGCUCCACAUGCUAUGUCAUUAUUAAACCUGAAUUCCAUAUACCUAACAUCUAUGACCAGUCUUAUCAGGAUAUGGGUAGGCUUCUCCUAAAUGGGUAGAUGCUAACAUACAGGAAAAUAAACAAAUAUGAGAUAUAACAGAGAAUGAUAAUUCAAGAGAAGACAGAAAUCACAAAGUUAUCUACAUAUAUAUAUAUACACAUAUAUAUGUCAAUUUCUUCUGUAUAGCAACUACUUGAGAACACAGAAUUAUUGGCAGAUAGGAGAUGAAGGUUCAUGUCCUACAAAUUUAGGUCCUACAGCAAAGAAUGAUAAUAGCAUAUAUUUGAGUUUACUGUGUAAUUAAGAUAAUUCUGAUUAUCUUAAAAAUAGUUUAUCAAACAUUAUUGCUACAUAACAUAACUUAGAUUUAAUGCAUCAUUUCAUCCUCUCUCACUCUCUUUUUUUUUUUUUUUUUUUUUUUUUUUUUGCUUGAGAUCCUCCUUCUAGGUUUCUAGAAUUGCUCAUAUUUAGAAAUACCAGGGCAGUAGCAGCCAGAGUUGAGGUUUGCAGCAGGACUCCAGGGGGAGAGUGCAAAGUGGCUGAGAGAAACAGAUGGCACAUUGGGCCCAGGACGAGGUUCAGCAGCUGACCUGGCCAGUCAUGGAGAUGGAAAAGGAGUCCAAGCAGAUCAAGAAGGCCGGGAACUGGAUGGCCAUUUACCAAUCUUUUUUAAAGUGUUGUGUGAGAGAAGGGAUUAAGACAGCAGAAUAGAAAGACUUGAGGUCAUCUUCUCUCAGGAAAACAACAAAAUUACAACCAAUUGCUGAACAACCUUCAAUCAAAUGGACUGGAAACUUUCAAAAAGAAUUCCAAUUCCAGAAGACAAAGAGGAGGCCAUAUCAGGAUGGUUGGAGGGGUAAUUAUGGGAUAUAAGCAACCCCAUACCCACUGGGUGGGCAGCCCAUAGACUGGAAAGUAACUAUAUCACAGAGACUGACCUAUAGGAGAGAGAGUUCUGAGACUCACAUCAGGUCUCCAGCCCUGGGGAUUUGGCAUUGGGAGAAAGAGCCACCAGAGGAUCUGGCAUUGAAGGGCAGUGGAGCUUGUGUGCAGGAGCUCCAUGGAACUGGGGGAAAUGGAGACCCCAUUCCUGAAAUGCACAUGCAGGCUUUCACAUGCAUUGGGUCCUAGGGAAAAGCAAAGUCUCCACAGUAAUCUGGAUUGGACCUGACUGCAGUUCUUGGGGGAUUUCCUGGGAAAACAGGUGGUGACUGUGGCUCAUUGUUGGGGGAGGACACUGGAGGCAAAAGUGUCAGGAAUAUUCACCAGUGUGUAUUCCUCUAGAGGUGGCCAUUUUGGGAAAAUCUGGCCCCAUUCAUCAGCACUGAGAAGCCCCAGGCAAAACGAUAAUCCAGGUAGGAUCAGAGCCUCACCCAUAAGUAAAUGGCACAGAGUCACCUCUAAUUUCACCCAGAAACAAAGCCCCUUCCACCAUAGGGAUAGGAAUCAGCCCCACAUACCAGUGGACAGGCCCUCCCAUCAAGUCUCUCCCAUUUCUCCCAUCAAGAAGCCUACACAAGUCCUCUUACCAACUUCAGCCACAAGGGCAGAAGACAUCAGAAGUAAGAGAGGCUACAACUCUAUUGUCUGCAAAAAGGACACCACACCAAAAACUCAUAAAAAUGAAAAGGCAGAGAAAUAUAACUCAGAUAAGGGAGAAAGAAAAAACUCCAGAAAAACAGCUAAGGGAUCUGGAAAUUAGCAGCUUCCAGGAAAAAGACUUUAGACUGUUGAUGAUGAAGAUGAUGCAAAACAUUGGAAAUAAACUGGAGCAAAGAUUGAUCAUUUAUAGCAAACACUGAGGAAAGAAACACAAGAUUUAAAACUUAAGCAAGUAGAAACACAAAAUACAGUCACUGUUAUAAAACUUCAUUAGAAGCAACCAAAAGCAGAAUACAGGAGGCAGAAGAAUGACUGAGGUGGAGGACAGACUAGUGGAAAUCACGGAUUCAGAACAGAAAAGAGAAAAAAGAUAAAAAAGAAAUGAAGACAGUCUCUAAGAACUCUGGGACAAUGUUAAAUGCACCAACUUCCACAUUAUGCCAGAAGGAGAAGAGAGAGAGAAAAGGACAGAAAAAGAAUUUGAAGAGAUAAUAGCCAAAGAUGUCCCUAACAUGGGAAAGGAACCACUCACUCAAAUCCAGGAAGCACUACGAGAACCAUAUAAAAUAAAACCAAGGAGGAACACCCUGAAAUACAUAUUAAUCAAACUGACCAAAAUUAAAGACAAAGAGAAAAUAUGAAAAACAGCUAGGAAAAAGAAACAAAUAACAUAUAAGGGAACCCCAAUAAGGUUAGCAGCAGAUUUUUCAGCAGAAACUCUGCCAGAAGAGAGUGGCAUGAUAUAUUUGACAUAAUGAAAGGAAAAAACUUCCAACCAAGAUUACUUUACCCAGCAAGGUGCUCACUCAGAUUUGAAGGAGAAAUCAAAAGUUUAAAGAUAAGCAAAAUCUAAGAGAAUUCAGAAACAUUAGGCCAGCUUUAUAACAAAUACUAAAGGAACUCCUCUAGGCAGAAAAGAAAAGGCCACAAAUAGAAACAAAAAUACCACACAGAACAAGGCUCACCCGUAAAUGCAUAUAUACAGUAAAGGUAGGAAAUAAUCCAUACACAAAUAUGCUACCAAAAUGAGAAAACAUGAGAAGAACAGGGUACAGUUGCAAGAACUGGAGAUGCACCUGCAAUUAAGAGACCAACAACUUCAAACUAUCUCUUGUGUGUGUGUGUGUGUGUGUGUGUGUGUGUGUGUGUGUGUGUGUGUAUACACUCCUAUAUCAAAACUUCAGGGUAACUGCAAAACCAAAAAUCUACAAUUGAUAGACUGACUGAAUGGAUACAAAAACAAGAUCUCUAUAUAGUCUGUCUUCCAGAGACCCACUCCACUUCCAGGAACACAUACAAAUUGAAAGUGAGAGGAUGGAAACAAAUAUUCCAUGCAAACCAGAAUCAAAAGAAAGGUGGAGUAACGAUAUUCAUAUCAGACAAAAUAGACUGUAAAAUAAAGAGUAUUGUAAGAAACAAAGAAGAACAUUACAUAAUGAUCAAAGGAUCAAUCCAAGAAGAAGACAUAACAAAUUUAAAUAUACAUGCACCCAACAUAGGAUCACCUCAAUUUAUAAGGAAACUGCUAACAACUGUAAAAGGAGAAACUGACAAUAACACAAUAAUUGGGGGGACUUCAACACCCCACCUACAGCAAUGGAAAGAUCAUCCAGACAGAAAAUCAAAAGGAAACACAGGGCCUAAUUGAAGCAUUAGACCAGAUGGACUUAAUAGGUAUUUAUAGUACAUUCUAUCCAAAAGCAGCAAAAUAUGCUACCUUCUCAAGUACACAUGGAACAUUCUGUACGAUUGAUCCCAUUCUGUGCCACAAAUGAAGCCUCAGUAACUUAGAAAAUUGAAAUCAUAUCAAGCAUCUUUUCUGACAACAACACUAUAUGACUGGAAAUUAACAACAAGGAAAAAACUGCAAAAAACACAAAUACUCUCUGACAUAUACCAUAGCAACAUCUUCUCAGAUCUACCUUAAAGAGUAAUGGCAAUAAAAACAAAUAUAAACAAAUGGGACCUAAUCAAACUUAAAAGUUUCUGCACAGCAAAGGAAACCCUAAACAAAAUGAAAAGACAACCCAUGGAGUGGGAGAAAAUAUUUGCAAAUGAAGUGACUGACAAGGGAUCAAUCUCCAAAAUUUAUAAACACCUUCUGCAGCUCAAUACCAAAAAAAAAAAAAAA